UCAAAUUCCACAGCAUGCCCUUUUUAAACAGCCCUGAAUAGCCAACUUCCUGUUGGGCCGAGCCUAUGACAUGCAGCGCAAAAGUUGUUCGGCUCAAUGAGAUCUAUAUGUGUACCAAGUUUCAUAUGAAUGUGUGCAAGCAUGUGUGAGCUAUACAUCAAGAUUUCAGACUGUGUUCCAGGGGGCGCCGUAGAGCCCCUGUGCCACGCCCAGGUCCCAGCCUCUGCGGCGUCCUAAUGGCCGCAGGUUCCAACGCGUGUGCAAAUUUUCAAGAGUUUUUGAAUAUGUUAAGGCCCCCAAAAAGCCCCGGAAGGUUG